AAGUUUAUAAUAUUUUGGAUCAUAUUAUGUAUUUUGUAUAUGUUUAGGCUCAUGCAGAGAUAAAAUACAGUAAUGAACUUUGUAAAUACAGCAUUGAAGAUUUAGGAAGUCAAAAUGGCACUUUUAUAAAUGAUGUGAGACUUUCCAAGUCUAAAGAAAAAAGUGAACCCCAUAUAUUAACCCAUGGAGAUAUAUUAGCUUUAGGUUCCUGCAGAUUCUUGCUUCAUAUACAUGUCGGUUUUGAAACUUGUAAUGAAUGCGAGCCUGGUCAAGUUUUAGCUGAAAUUUCUGCUCAAGAAAGACCUGAAGUUGUAUUUAAAAC